CCAGAGCCCCAUGAGGAAGGACAAAGGUGGAGUCCUGGGGACCAAAGACAGGAGUCCCAAGGCUCCUCUCACUGUCCCUCCCAGGGACUUCCUCGGGGAGCUGUAUUUCUCUCCAUCUGCUGUCCCUGGAGGCUCCGUGGGUCUAGCGGUGAUGGUUCCCAAAGGGGAAUGAUUUCUACCAGGGGACCCAGGGGGAGUGCCACUGAGUUGGAAGUCCUGGCUGCCUUUUCCGUCACUUCAGAUUCCUUGCAUAGGUGGGCAACAGGCAAGGGAAGGCUCACGGUCCACAAAGAGGCUGGAACCAGGAGAAGGGGCUCUGAAGAAAACACAGCAUGGAAACCAGAAAGAAGAUGAUCAGAUUACCAGCCUCUGGAUUUGUGAGCUGGUCUCAAUCGGACCAGAGCAGGCUUGAUUUCAGACCCACAGAGUCUCACACGCCAACCUCACCCCCUUCCUCCCCGCACACCACUAUUUUUAAAGAACCCCCAGCCUCUUUCCAAUCAUGAUACUGUUGCUUUCUUUUCUUUUUCUACUUUUUUUCCCUUAUCUAUCCACUGAAAAUCUUCUAAUGAAGAGAGUACCACUUCAGGAACUCCAGGGUUGGGAAAAUCAGACGGAUUGGUGGAUUUCAAGUUAGAACUGCCUCUUAAAAUGUUUAAAAUGAAAACAGAUGGGGAAGUGGAAAGUUAAGUUCUGUGCCCCUUGAAGAAAUGUAUGUGUCUCUUGCAGAUAUUCUUGGGGGCAGGCCAUAGUGGGGUUCUCUUUCACAGCAUCCCCAUCACUUUUGUGAUUCUGAAUCGUCACUGUCACCCUGUGAGAGAAGAAGAGACACAGCUCCGUGCUCAGCAUGCCUGCUUCUCAGAGCUGCCCCCUUUGGAUUUGAGGGAGAAGGUUUAUGUUGUUUAUUGGGGCUGUAACAAACAUGAACUGAUGGCAUUCGUCUUCAACAACGUAAGUGUAUGUGCAUUGUCUUUGAAGACCUAGGGCAGUAUAAGGAGUGGUUGGGAGUGGCCCAUUGGGACUAAUCUCUUCUACCUAAAGUGUUCCAGGACCCACGACUGGCUUCAUGGAGAACCUGGACCACACACCUCCAACCUGCCGUGUUCUUCAUCCAGGUUCUCUCACUUUGAGUCAUAAACUCAGGGAAGGUGCUAGAUGCAUCAAAAUGGGGAAUGCCUAUUCCCUGUCCAUCUGGAUUUUACAAUAAGCAACAAGAUAGAUUCAUCCAAAAGAGCUUAGUUUUUAAAAAGAUAUUGAGCAAAGAUGAACAUGUACAAAAACAUGAAAAACGAUGCUCUGAGGAAAGAUUCAUGCAUUCAUUGAACAAGUUAGUUGAGCUGUAGAAAGAAAUAUGCUGAAAUACCCUUGCAAAGAAAUUUUGAAAAAUAUCAUGUUGCCUUUUAUGUUAUGAUCUUGACGUAGAACCAAAACCACAACAAAAUUGCCAGAUUUGCAAGCCUAGGGAAAAGUCAUUAUGGCUAGGGGAAGAAAAAAAGAACACAUAAGACAAAAGCAAUGUUGGUAAACGACAGGAAGCAUGCCAAGUUCUUCAGUCACAUAUGAACUACAAUGAAAUAAAACAAAUCUUACAUUAAUAAGAAAA